rnacentral:tRNA from 1 species
GGGCAAUUAGCUCAGUUGGUUAGAGCGCUUCCUUGACAUGGAAGAGGUCACAAGUUCGAGUCUUGUAUUGCCCACCA